UCUAUCAUGCAGUCGAGCGGACAGAUGGGAGCUUGCUCCCUGAUGUUAGCGGCGGACGGGUGAGUAACACGUGGGUAACCUGCCUGUAAGACUGGGAUAACUCCGGGAAACCGGGGCUAAUACCGGAUGGUUGUCUGAACCGCAUGGUUCAGACAUAAAAGGUGGCUUCGGCUACCACUUACAGAUGGACCCGCGGCGCAUUAGCUAGUUGGUGAGGUAACGGCUCACCAAGGCGACGAUGCGUAGCCGACCUGAGAGGGUGAUCGGCCACACUGGGACUGAGACACGGCCCAGACUCCUACGGGAGGCAGCAGUAGGGAAUCUUCCGCAAUGGACGAAAGUCUGACGGAGCAACGCCGCGUGAGUGAUGAAGGUUUUCGGAUCGUAAAGCUCUGUUGUUAGGGAAGAACAAGUGCCGUUCAAAUAGGGCGGCACCUUGACGGUACCUAACCAGAAAGCCACGGCUAACUACGUGCCAGCAGCCGCGGUAAUACGUAGGUGGCAAGCGUUGUCCGGAAUUAUUGGGCGUAAAGGGCUCGCAGGCGGUUUCUUAAGUCUGAUGUGAAAGCCCCCGGCUCAACCGGGGAGGGUCAUUGGAAACUGGGGAACUUGAGUGCAGAAGAGGAGAGUGGAAUUCCACGUGUAGCGGUGAAAUGCGUAG
rnacentral:rRNA from 1 species